UGGGGGAUAUUGCACAAUGGGGGAAACCCUGAUGCAGCGACGCCGCGUGGAGGAAGACGGUUCUCGGAUUGUAAACUCCUGUCUCCGGGGACGAUAAUGACGGUACCCGGGGAGGAAGCACCGGCUAACUACGUGCCAGCAGCCGCGGUAAUACGUAGGGUGCAAGCGUUGUCCGGAUUUACUGGGUGUAAAGGGAGCGUAGGCGGGGUUGUAAGUUGGAUGUGAAAGUUUGCGGCUCAACCGUAAAAUUGCAGUUGAUACUGUCAGUCUUGAGUACAGUAGAGGUAAGCGGAAUUCGUGGUGUAGCGGUGAAAUGCUUAGAUAUCACACAGAACACCUAUUGCGAAGGCAGCUGACAAAACCAUUAUUGACGCUGAGGCACGAAAGUGUGGGGAUCAAACA
rnacentral:rRNA from 1 species